GCACUGCUGAUUAGUCCCGAACAGGACGAAACAGUUGUCCAGUGC
rnacentral:hammerhead_ribozyme from 1 species